UGGUUGGAGCUCCGAUUGAGUGGCAGAGUCCGGCUUCUUCUUGUUAUGUUCAAUCUGGAAGAAUAUCGGCUCCGACACCAAUAAACACAAGGAGGAGCUGUGACAAUUGUUCACGGGUGAUCUCACCUUUGGGCAACAACCAUCGUCCGAUGACGAGAACGAAGAGAAGGACUUGGUGGAGAGCGAGGAGCCAUUGUUCGGGGUCUAGUUUGUGCAGCUGUAAGGUGGAGGGAUUAUGCUUGCCAACGUGAACACCAUCUCCAGCACCAAACAUCCCAAGCCUACACUUAACGCGUACAAAUACACAGGUUCGUAUAACUCGCUAAUCCUCCACAAAGCAAGUGUUGCGUGUAAUAUGAACAUGAGUCUGGUCAACACUGCGGAUACUUUGGGCACGCAACCAACUUUUUCUCUCUUCUUUAUCCUCGCCGAUGAUUUACGCCGAGAUACGUAACUGCCGUCAAUAGCCAUGGUAAUGGUGACGUAUCUAUGCCCUAUGACGUCAUCAGUGCUAUCUCUGUAGAUGUGACAAGAGUAUUAUUUUUAUUAUACGUCGUUAAAUGAUAUUCUAAUGCUAUAUGAUAUAUUAGGGUGGGGUAAGUUGGGACACGCUUUUAUUCUCUUUUCUUGUCCAAUUUAGUAUCAAACAAAACUAUAUAACUGUAUCCUCACCGACUCUAUGAAAGCAUUGUUAAUUGUUGAAAGCGCGUUUGUAAUAUAUUGGAUUUUGGUGCCAACGAUAUCCCAUCU